rnacentral:rRNA from 1 species
UACGUAGGGGGCAAGCGUUGUCCGGAAUCAUUGGGCGUAAAGCGCGCGUAGGCGGCUCGGUAAGUCCGCUGUAAAAGUCCAGGGCUCAACCCUGGAAAGCCGGUGGAUACUGUCGGGCUAGAGUCCGGAAGAGGCGAGUGGAAUUCCUGGUGUAGCGGUGGAAUGCGCAGAUAUCAGGAGGAACACCGAUGGCGAAGGCAGCUCGCUGGGACGGUACUGACGCUGAGGAACGAAAGCGUGGGGAGCGAACAGG